GCACUGCUGACGAGUCCCAAACGGGACGAAACAGCUAUCCAGUGC
rfam:Echinostoma caproni strain Egypt genome assembly, scaffold: ECPE_scaffold0007857